rnacentral:rRNA from 1 species
UACAGAGGGGGCAAGCGUUGUUCGGAAUUACUGGGCGUAAAGGGCGCGUAGGCGGCCUUCUAAGUCGAACGUGAAAUCCCCGGGCUCAACCCGGGAACUGCGUCCGAUACUGGAAGGCUUGAAUCCGGGAGAGGGAUGCGGAAUUCCAGGUGUAGCGGUGAAAUGCGCAGGAUAUCAGGAAGAACACCCGUGGCGAAGGCGGCUCUCUGGGACGGUACUGACGCUGAGACGCGAAAGCGUGGGGAGCGAACAGG